UUGAAAGCAUCUGCGCCGCUUUUCUCCUCCAUGUUCAAUUAUGACGUAUCCUCUCCUGUGGCCUCCUGGGAUAGAAAAGUAUCGAUCAAGGAACACUUCAGAAUCUGGGCGGAAGCAGUAGGCCAUCCGGGAACUUCUUGACUACUCAUUUAUGAUUACUGAGGUUUCUGACAUACUUAAUUGCUCGCCUACUGCUUUUCCCCUACUAAAUAGUAGACAAGUAGGCGGUUUCGGACGCAGCCAAAGAGAUUCGGCUAUUAAGUACCUACUCUUUUAGCGCUCGUUAAGUAAGUACUUAUUGAAAUGAAGUACCUACUCAUUGAGUAGGCAGUUUUGGACGCAGCCAGCGAAAGCUCUGCGUAAGGAACAAUGACUUCCUUCUUCUUCUUCUUUUAGUUUUUUGGCGGAUUGCAAUCAUGACUUAUCAGGUGCAUAGCUCCACCUACUGUACAGGAGUUUGUAGCAAUGGAUUAUGGUGCGAUAAAACUACUUUACAUAAUAUUAAUAUUAAAAACAAUGACUUCCGAUGCCGCGCCGAUAUAAAUAGGCUGCCUGAGGAAAAAUGUGGAAGUGACUGUGUCCAUUGGGGCGUAAAUGCCACCCAGGACCUUUUUAAUUGGUUUAAAGAAACACCAGGUAUCCAGUGGUCCACAAAUAUAGGGAAAUUACAGAUAGUAAGGAUUUACUAUUUGAAUGUAAUUUAUUUUUUAUUAUUUUUAUGAGAAAUUUUCAAUUCACCUAUAAGUGAAAUAUGCUUCUUAAACGACGUUUCAAAAAAAGGUUCAGGAGCAGCAUGGUCCCGAAUGAAACGUCCCCAUCUGACUAACAGAGAACCGUAUGGGGACGUUCUGUUAAUGUCCCAAAUGUCCUCUUUGUAACGAUCUUAUGUGACCAUUGAUUAACCAAUGUGGAACGUCCCUCUAAAGUCAUAUAAGGAAACUUGAACUGCAGCACUUUCAUAACCAAAAGAGGAUGUUUUACAAACAUCUCUAAUGUGAAGGUUCAGGAUUUCCGUCCCAUUUAGAGAACUUUUAGGGAAUGGUGCGCAAGGCCACGAGAACGUCCCCUCCUACAUGGGAUGGAUGUUCAUCUGCACAUCAUCAGUUUCUCAAUAGUCAGAGUAAAAAUAAAACUACUGAACUAACUAAAACUAACAUUAGUCAGAAUGUAAAUGAUCAUAGUGUAACUCUAGUGUAUAUUAGUUUGUCUGUUGUAAAUCCUGCCCACUUCUUUGCAUUGUCACACAUGCUUCAGUGCUCUGAGAGUGUUUAUAGUGCUGUGAGUUUAACACUUCAUGACUGAGAGCAGAACAGAACACAAUCUUCAUCAUCACACAAGACAAAAGAACAACAAUGAACAAAAUCACCUUCUUCAUCUCGACUCUCACACUGAUCGCUCAAGAGUGUAGAGGACAGUACACUGUAACUCAGAGUCCAUCAAUAACAGCAGUUCAACCAGGACAAGAAGUCAGAAUAAACUGUAAAACCAGCAGUGCAGUGUAUAGUGGUAAUUAUUUAGCCUGGUACUUACAGAAACCUGGAGAAGCUCCUAAACUCCUCAUAUAUGCAGCAACAAGCCGUUAUACUGGAACUCCAUCUAGAUUCAGUGGCAGUGGAUCUGGCAGUGAUUUCACUCUGACCAUCAGUGGAGUCCAGACUGAAGAUACAGGAGAUUAUUACUGUCAGAGUUUCCACUAUCCGAACAGUAAACCUGUGUUCACACAGUGAUAAAGAGUGGUACAAAAACCUCGGUCAGUCAGACGUCACAGUGAUGCACUGAUACAGCUGAGAGAUACUGCAGCUGCUGAUGGAGGAUCACAAACAACACAAUGGUGUAUCAAACCUUUCAGAAACAUUAUUUAUUUAUUUGGAUGUACUAAGCAUGUAACAUAAUCUUUAUAUUAUAUAAAUGUUAGUGGUGCUUGGUCCUGCAAAACUUUCCACUACAAUGUAAUCGAACUGCAGGAAAGUCUGUCACUUUAAUUGCACUUCCAUGCUUCAUCACUAGAUGGCGUGUCUGUUACAUAACUGAGUUCUCUAUCUGUCACUCACUUUGACGUUGUGUCGAUGUGAUGACACUAGUGUAGUGUUUCUCAACCUUUUUUACUCGAUGGCCUCCUCCUUCACCAGAUCAAUACUGCAGUGCCCCCCUAAGAUGCCUGACAUUUCCUCUUAUACUGAACUUCCACAGCAAAGAGAGAAAAGUGUUUGUAUUUAAGCCUUUUUAUUAACAUUUGUUUGCAUUAUUGCUUUUCUACUGCAUGUUUUGUAAUAUUCUUUAAUAUUCUUUUUGAAAACAUAAUUGGUAAUUUAAAGCUAUGCUUUAUAACUUAAAGAAAUCCCUCUGUUAAAUUAUAAUACUCUGAUGUUAUCCAGGUCAAGUGAUUGCAUCUGUGCCAACAGAACGAUUGAGACUCCCAUCUAAAGCCUGUCGGUUCACGUCGUCCCUGAUAACAAGAACUUAAUGCUGUUGGACAGGCUGUCUCUGCUGUACAUGCCACGGACAUGAACGAGGAUAGUCCCGACCCAGCACACAUGCAGGAACUAUGCUCGUCAACCGAUUUAUUAAUAAUUAAUAAUCAUCAAUAAUUAAUAAUCAUAAACUGUGAGGUAAGAUUAGUAUACAUACAUCAGAAGGCCUACUCUCUCAUCCCUGCAUAAAAAGACACAUGUGCAAAUGAGAUGCUAAAAUUCAAUGGUUAAAAGCAGCACUUUAAAGGAAAAUUCACUAAUCACACUGAUGCACAUUAUGACAGAAACCCUUAACAAUGUUCUAACAUCAUAAAUACAGCGAUUAUGAUAUAAAGAGACAGUAAAGCAAAUACAGGAUAAAUGUGAAACAGCAAAACGACCUCUGCUUCCCCGUCGACAUACAGCAUGAGCGCAAAUGCUUAAAGGGGAAACAAUAAAUCUUCCUAUGGUGUCCCAGUAAUUAUUCCUGAUUAAACCACUGAAAAUACAACAUUACAUACAAGUUUUGCUGAAGUUAACUCAAUUAUAGAAUUGUUUCUUUAUUCCUCUAUGGCAUGGUGUCGCCCUCAGGAAACAUAAAAGGUUUUUGGACUUCACACCGGAUCUAUAUAUGACACGUCUGUUCAAUGAAAUGAGGGGCUGAAGUGGGUGCAGCCUUUUCUGUUUAUCCACAUUUCAUGAUGGAUAUAUUAUCAGGGACCCCCAAGGGUUAAAUAAAAACAAACAAAACAAGCCCUAUAAUUUAAUAAAAUAACACAUAUUAUGAAGACACUUUAUAUUUAAUGGUAUUAGAUGAUUUGAUAGUUGCAUUUAAUAGAUUACAACUUCAAUAAAACAUUUGUAUUUUGUUUGUAACAUUGUAUCUGGAAUGGUAAAACAUUGUUGACUUAUCUUAAGUCUGAAUUUCUGAUGAACUCUUAUAGCGCUGCAGGACUAGCCUACAGCAAACACUGAACCAGACUAUUAAAUGUUGAGCAAGGGAUCUCAUUGGCUGCAGGAUCAGCAGAGACCAAUCAGCCUGAGUCAUUUGGUAUUGAUGUGAUUGCUUACAGACUGCAUGUAAAGGACCGAUCGAAGCCUGUGCCAUCUUCAGUUUCAUGACUGAACUAGAUUUCUGACAUGACAAUUCUUGGAGAGUUUGUCAUGGUAAUGAAUAUGACAAUGUUAAUGUGUUUGGUCUGCUGCUGUUGAUUAUAUCUGCUGUAGAGUACAGAACUUUCCACUGCCAAAACACACACAACAUGCUGCUGCUGUACGAGCAAACAUGAAUCACCCCAUAGCAGAUCUGGACAGGUGGAGCUGGGGGAGGUGGAGGAUUUCUGAAAGUACACUGCACUGCUACAGCAAACAAUAGACAAGUGUUUGAAUGUUGAGCAGCAAGAUCAUUGACUACUGAUACAGCAGGAAUCAUUCAGUGUGUCCUGUAGAGAAUGAUGUGUAAAUGUGUAUGUCUGACUCUGUAUAUUUACUGUUACUGUGCUUUGCUGAUGUAAAGCCUUUCUUUUAACCCUGUCAGUAAAACUAUUGGACUCUGAAUGUAUAUCGUCCUGAUCUCUCUUCUGUCUUUUGCAUUCAGAGGGUGUUUUACAUGAGCGGCACAUGCUUCACUGCUCUAAAUGUGUUUAUAGCUCUAUGAACUGAACAUGACAUGAUCAAGAGCUCUUCUUCAUCAACCAACAAACAUGACUUUCAGCUGCAGCUGCUCAUAAACACAAUCACACACAACACUGAUCACAGACAAACACUAAUAACACUAGAUCAUCUAAAUCAACAUCAAUCUUGUGUUUAUGAAGAGAAUGAGUCAGUGUUUAAUACGAUCAUCAUGUUUUAGGUGUAAUAUAUGAUCCCUGUCAAUCAAACUGAACAGACUGAAUUCAGUCACUUCUGCUGUCUGGAUGUGAUGCUUCUCAUUUGAUGUUCAUGACAUUUUCAUAUAUAUUUUCAUCACCACAUUUUCAGCAGAAGUGAAACUGGUGUGUUCCAGUCCAGAUCAUGUGACCAAUCAAACAGUGAGACUGAAAAGCCCAUUUGCAUUGUCAGGGUGGAGUGAUUCUGAUCCUCUCAGAAUAGAGCAGCUCUGUCUCCAGAGACCAUGUUCAAACCCCAAGAGCUUUAUUUGACAUUUACAUCAAGCUUGUGAAAAGCACCUGCAUCUUCAUCUGUUAGUUGAAUGAUGUUGUCAGACACAAAGUGAACUUGUUGAGAAGCUUUAUUGAAUGUUACAGCAGAUUGAAAGAUCACACAGUGCUUUGACACGCCAGCUCUCUUUCAGUAUUGAGUUGUAAAUCACUACAGCUGCAGCACUAGACUCAUGUGAAUCCUGCCUGACACAGGACACUCAGA